rnacentral:rRNA from 1 species
UCUGGCCUGCUCACUGAAAUUUUUAAAGAGCCGCGGUAUUUUGACCGUGCAAAGGUAGCAUAAUCAUUAGUCUCCUAAUUAGGGGCUGGAAUGAAUGGCUUGACGAGAAAUUAACUGUCUCUUAAUAAAUUUUAAAAUUUAACUUUUGAGUUAAAAGGCUUAAAUUUUUCUUUAGGACGAGAAGACCCUAUAGAGCUUAACAUCUAAAUUAGAUAUUUUUUUAAGAUGGUUUAUUUAUGUUUAAUGGUAAUGUUUUGUUGGGGUGACAUGAAGAAUUAAUAAACUCUUUAUUAUAAAAUCAUUAAUUUAUGUUUAUUUUGAUCCAUAAUUUAUGAUCAUAAGAUUAAGUUAUUUUAGGGAUAAC